GCUCGUGCGAAAGCAGACGCGAGAGGCGGGGCCUAGCUUGGGGGCGGGGCUGGAGCGCCCCCUGCAGGUCCAAACCUCUUAACCUCGCCCUCCCUUCAGAUAGUUUUUAGGCGCUGAGGAUGCGGAAGUGAACAAAACGAAGUCCCUGCCCCUCGCACUACUUCAUCUAGUGGGAUUGGAAGGAGGCAGGAGUCUUAAAACUCAGUUUGACCUCUACUUUCAUUGAGCCCCUGUGUUGGACCCAAUGUCAGGAAUAGCUGACCUAGACCCAAGGAAGGGCGGUGAGUGAUGAAGUGCCAGCUCAGAAGAGAGCUGUAUGAGUGCUGGAAAGUGAAUCAUUGUGGGCUGUAGGAGCUGGGAAGAUCUCCAAGAAGAAGCAGGCAGGUGGAAAGUGGCUGCCCUUCCGAAUCAGAAGAUCCCCUAGAGAUCUUCACACCCAAACUCCUCAUUGUACAGCUGGAAAAGCCAAGGUUCAGAGGGUGGGAAUGAAGAAAUCUGACUCCCAUUGGGCAGUUGAGGACACUGAGGCCCGAAAAGGGCAUGGGACCCUCCCAAGGUCAUGCAGCCAGAUGGGGACGCCAGGUGGGGACCUGCGUCCUAAAUCCACACGCCCUGAUUUCAUCAGGCAACAGAUGGUCCCAAGGCUUGACUUGAAAAAUCUUAAAUGACCUCAAAGAGAAUACAAGCCCGGAACAUUCCAGGCCUCCCUGAGCUGGUCUUUACUACUACCUUUAAUACA